AACGAACGCUGGCGGCAUGCCUAACACAUGCAAGUCGAACGAGACCUUCGGGUCUAGUGGCGCACGGGUGCGUAACGCGUGGGAACCUGCCCUUAGGUUCGGAAUAACUCCCCGAAAGGGGUGCUAAUACCGGAUAAUGUCUUCGGACCAAAGAUUUAUCGCCUUUGGAUGGGCCCGCGUUGGAUUAGCUAGUUGGUAGGGUAAAAGCCUACCAAGGCGACGAUCCAUAGCUGGUCUGAGAGGAUGAUCAGCCACACUGGGACUGAGACACGGCCCAGACUCCUGCGGGAGGGAGCAGUGGGGAAUAUUGGACAAUGGGCGAAAGGAUGAUCCAGCAAGGGCUCGUGAGUGAUGAAGGCAUGAGGGUUGUGAAGCUCUUUUAUACGGGAUGAUAAUGACAGUACCGGGAGAAUAAGCACCGGCUAACUCCGUG
rnacentral:rRNA from 1 species